GUCUGGUGCCAGCAGCCGCGGUAAUUCCAGCUCCAAUAGCGUAUAUUAAACUUGUUGCAGUUAAAAAGCUCGUAGUUGAAUUUCUGCGUCACCGUAUUUUGACUUUUGUCGACUGUCGGUUUCGCUUUUGGGAUUUAUCCCUUUUUACUUUGAGAAAAUUAGAGUGUUUCAAGCAGACUUUUGUCUUGAAUACUUCAGCAUGGAAUAAUAGAGUAGGACUUUGGUUCUAUUUUGUUGGUUUGUGAACCUUAGUAAUGGUUAAUAGGAACGGUUGGGGGCAUUCGUAUUUAACUGUCAGAGGUGAAAUUCUUAGAUUUGUUAAAGACGAACUACUGCGAAAGCAUUUGCCAAGGACGUUUUCAUUAAUCAAG
rnacentral:rRNA from 1 species